rnacentral:rRNA from 1 species
CCUUUUGUAUAAUGGGUCAGCGACUUAUAUUCUGUAGCAAGGUUAACCGAAUAGGGGAGCCGAAGGGAAACCGAGUCUUAACUGGGCGUUAAGUUGCAGGGUAUAGACCCGAAACCCGGUGAUCUAGCCAUGGGCAGGUUGAAGGUUGGGUAACACUAACUGGAGGACCGAACCGACUAAUGUUGAAAAAUUAGCGGAUGACUUGUGGCUGGGGGUGAAAGGCCAAUCAAACCGGGAGAUAGCUGGUUCUCCCCGAAAGCUAUUUAGGUAGCGCCUCGUGAAUUCAUCUCCGGGGGUAGAGCACUGUUUCGGCAAGGGGGUCAUCCCGACUUACCAACCCGAUGCAAACUGCGAAUACCGGAGAAUGUUAUCACGGGAGACACACGGCGGGUGCUAACGUCCGUCGUGAAGAGGGAAACAACCCAGACCGCCAGCUAAGGUCCCAAAGUCAUGGUUAAGUGGGAAACGAUGUGGGAAGGCCCAGACAGCCAGGAUGUUGGCUUAGAAGCAGCCAUCAUUUAAAGAAAGCGUAAUAGCUCACUGGUCGAGUCGGCCUGCGCGGAAGAUGUAACGGGGCUAAACCAUGCACCGAAGCUGCGGCAGCGACGCUGAUGCGUUGUUGGGUAGGGGAGCGUUCUGUAAGCCUGCGAAGGUGUGCUGUGAGGCAUGCUGGAGGUAUCAGAAGUGCGAAUGCUGACAUAAGUAACGAUAAAGCGGGUGAAAAGCCCGCUCGCCGGAAGACCAAGGGUUCCUGUCCAACGUUAAUCGGGGCAGGGUGAGUCGACCCCUAAGGCGAGGCCGAAAGGCGUAGUCGAUGGGAAACAGGUUAAUAUUCCUGUACUUGGUGUUACUGCGAAGGGGGGACGGAGAAGGCUAUGUUGGCCGGGCGACGGUUGUCCCGGUUUAAGCGUGUAGGC